UUUUGACUUUGAUCCACUUCUCUGUGUGACGUUCAUGUUGUAUAAUUUUGACAUAUUCUUCACAAUAUAGGUGAUGUAAUAUUUCUUCCUUUGGUUGUUUUUUGAUAUUUCCGCAAUUAACACAAAUAGAAUAAAAUAGACCAUUAACUUCAAGAAGAUUGUGUUCUACGAAUUCAAGGAAUUCAAGAACUAUGAUCCAUAAUAAAUUCUGAAAUUUAUAUCAAAAGACUAAUGUGAAUUUCACACUAAUACUACACACACAACAUACUAAUAUGGUUAUAUGCAUACUAAUAUAUCCAUCACAAAAAUAUAAAAACCUAAAGCAUAUUCA
rnacentral:lncRNA from 1 species